GAUUUCUGAGGCCGACGGUUACCUCCAUGCUCUUCCUCGCGCUGCGACGGUCGGCCACCGUACUCAGAUUCCUCGGACUCAUACUUGGAAGGUCGGGGCCUGGAAGGGCGAGACUCUGAGUCUCCAUCAUCAUAUUGUGAAGGACGAGGUUUAGCUGGACGAGAUUCUGAGUCUUCAUCAUCAUAGUGUGAAGGACGAGGUUUAGCUGGACGAGAUUCUGAGUUUUCAUCAUCGUAGUGCGAAGGACGAGGUUUAGCUGGACGAGAUUCUGAGUCUUCGUUAUCAUAUUGUGAAGGACGAGGUUUUGCUGGACGAGAUUCUGAGUCUUCGUCAUCAUGUCGUGAAGGACGGGGCUUGGUUGGCCGAGACUCAGACUCUUCAUCAUCGUACUUCGAGGGUCGGGGUUUGGAAGGAUGAUAGUCUUCGUCCUCACCACUUGACUGACCACGACCUAGAUAAAAGCACCCAAUUGCGAGUUAGGGAUGGCGUGUCUCAACAAUCCUGUAGUUAUUAAGGUCAUCAACAUGUUAAUUAUUAAAACACAGAAAUCAUGCACAGUUCAGCCAUUACACCCGAUAAGUUCCCAGUCAUAGCUGCUUCUUUACGGAUAUUGCAGUACAAGCAUCUAAUUUUCAAUACCAGAGCUACUAUAUACACCGAUUCGAAAUGGUGUAAAAGGAAUAGCUCGACUAAGAUUGUGACCCAA
rnacentral:lncRNA from 1 species